GAUGUAUUGAUUGAUCGGUGAUUGGCUCUGUCCCUCCCCGGCUGUGUGGGAGGGGACCGCUGACUGGGAGCUCAGACCCGGCAGACGGUGCGCUGUCAGCGGGAGGGCCGUCAUGUGGAUGCGGCCCCUCUGUCGCCUCCGAGCCGCUGAUCAGCAGCCACAGGCCGGGGAGGGAGAGCGCAGCAGCUGGGACACUUUGGUUCUUCCUCUCGGGGCCUGGGGCCUGGAGCCGCCCCCCCCCCCGGGCCCCGGUCGCACCUGUUCGGUCCCCGGGCCCCGGUGCUGAGUGUGAGCGGCGGUGGAGCAUCUGGAGCCGGACUGUUAAAUGUGUGUGGAGCUGCUGAUGUUUGGAAUAAAAGCUGUUUGGUGUUUGUGAGUCUGCCCCGGCUCCGGCCCCGGCUCUUAGCCGCUGUCUCUGGUUUCAUCCUCCGCCUUUGUCCUCAUGUUUUCCCCCGGAGUUCCUCCCCCUGCGGCGCUGGGCGGAGUUUCAUACCGGACUAGACGCUCCUUUUGUCGGAUUCGUUUCGACCUGACUCCCCGGGGUUUACGGCUGAAAAAUACACACUUUGAAAGUCCUGAAAUAAUCCUAACGAGCACCGUGGUGUGCAGCGUGAACCCGGGUUUCUGUCUGAACCGGAAGGAGGGAGGAGCCUGCUGCAUGAUGAACGGCAGCAGCAGCAGCGUAUCUGCGUCUCAGAGCUCCAGGGUCAAAAGUGAACAAGGUGCAGGUGCAGAUGACUGGAGUAAGGAGGACUGUCUCACUCUGCUGGAGAGGAUCCGCAGUCUGCUGCCGGACGUAGACUCCAUGAAGUAUAAAACCACAGAGUCGCACUUUGACUGGGAGAAAGUUUGUUUCGGCAGCUUCACCGGAGACAUGUGUCGCCAGAAGUGGCAGAAAGUGUCGACUGAGGUUCGUAAGUACAGGACGAUGACAGAGCUCAUCGUGGACGCCAUCGAGUUUGUGAAGAAUCCGUACAAAGGAAAGAAACUGAAGACUCACCCAGAUUUCCCUAAAAAACCUCUGACUCCCUACUUUCGCUUCUUCAUGGAGAAACGAGCAAAAUAUGCAAAAAUCCACCCGGAGAUGAGCAACUUGGAUCUCACCAAGAUUCUCUCCAAGAAAUACAAAGAGCUGCCCGACAAGAAGAAGCAAAAAUACAUCACAGAGUUUCAACGAGAGAAAGAAGAGUUUGAGAAGAACAUGGCUCGAUUCAAGGAGGAGCAUCCGGAGCUGAUGGAGGAGAGGAAGAAGUCCGAUCUGCCGGAGAAACCGAAAACUCCACAACAGCUGUGGUACAACCACGAGAAGAAGACGUACAUGAAGCUGCAUCCAGAGGUUAGUCAAAAGGAGCUGAAGGAGGCGCUGAGGAGACAGUGGUCACAGCUCUCCGACAAGAGACGACUGAAGUGGAUCAGCAAGGCCCUGGAGCUGCAGAAGGACUACGAGGACAGUAUGAGAGCAUAUCAUGAAGCUCAUCCAGAUGUGAACUCAGAUGAUCACGUUCGUUCCGUCCUCACCAAAGCAGAGCGACAACUGAAGGACAAGUUCGAUGGAAGACCGACAAAACCACCACCUAAUGGCUACUCUCUGUACUGUGCGGAGCUGAUGGUGAACAUGAAGGAUGUCCCCAGCACCGAGCGCAUGGUUCUCUGCAGUAAACAGUGGAAAAUUAUGACGCAAAAAGAGAAAGAUAUGUUCCAGAAACGCUGCGAGCAGAAAAAGAAGCAGUACGACGUCGACCUGAAGAGGUUUCUGGAGAGUCUGCCAGAAGAGGAACGAGACCGUGUCCUAACAGAGGAGAAACUGGGCGGGGGCAGAUUGAGUGUGGGUGUGGCUUCCAGCCCUCGCCGAGCCAAGUCUCCAUCUCUCAAGGGUCGGUGUCGGGAGGUGGAGCCAGAAUCAUGGGUACCUGCCAGACCGCCAAAAGAAAGACGGGACGGGAAGAAGACGGCGAAGCUUCCAGAGACACCAAAAACAGCGGAAGAAAUGUGGCAGCACAGCGUGAUCGGAGAUUAUUUAGCAAAAUACAGAAGCGACCGCAGGAAGGCGCAGGCGGCGAUGGAGGCAACUUGGAAGUCGAUGGAGAAGAAGGAGAAAAUUCCGUGGAUCAAGAGGGCGGCGGAGGACCAGAAGCGUUAUGAGGUUCAGUACCAACAUGUGAGGGAGCUGUUGGAGAUGAGGGCUCCAGCCGCAGGUCCGACUCAGAGGAAACCCAAGUUUGACGGAGAACCAAAGAAACCUCCAGUGAGCGGGUAUCAGAUGUUCUCCCAGGAGCUGCUGACCAAUGGCGAGCUGAACCACUUCAGUCUGAAGGAGCGGAUGGUGGAGAUCGGGAAGCGAUGGCACACACUGAGUCAGAGUCAGAAAGACAAGUACAAGAAGCAGGUGGAGGAGCAGCAGGUGGAGUACAAGGCCGAGCUGGAGGCCUGGGUCCAGUCUCUCUCUCCUCAGGAGCAAGCCGUCUACAAGGAGUUCUCUUCCUCUGUGAGUUUUUCUUCACCUGCAGGGGGCAAGUUGCUACAAGUCGAGUUUAUAAUUAAAGCAAACACGACUCUUGGAUAACAUAUUAGGAAACGUCGCAGCACCACUAAAGCGCGCAGCAGCCCCGGAGCUAAAGUCCAUGUGAUGGCGAAAGGGAAGGCGGUCGGUUCAAGAGCCGCAACACCGGGGGUCAGCGUGGGCAAGAGGGCCAUGGCGUACCGAGCUAAGGACAUGUCCGACACCGACGACGAGGAGGAGAAAAGUUCGUCUGACUCCGAUGAAGACGACGAGACGUCAGGAACCACGGACAGCGACGAUGAGAAUGACGACGAUGAAGAUCAAACGUCCUCGGAGGAAUCCAGUGACU